GGAAGGGCCACAGCUAGGGAAGAGAGAGGGCCGCUGAAAGGCAGAAAGGGGCCGGACAGAGCAGGCACCGUGGGCCUAGCUGGGCUCCUGAGCCCCGUGAACUGCCCAAUGCAGUGCCCUGCGCCUGGGGACAUCGCAGAGCGAAUCCAGCAUUUGCAGAAGGUCUGUGCCGUUCCAGGUACUUGUGGAACUUUUCCAGCCUGCAUUGUGUGCCUGGGAAGGAAGAGCAGCCCCCACCACGCUGGGAACUGCCUGGCUGCAGUGUGCCUCACCUUGGUGAGCUGGCAGACAUCACGGGGACACCAGACCUUUCCCACUCCUCUCCAGCCCCACGACCUUGAACCAGUGCUCUUUGUGGGCUGGGGCUUCCGGGAGCCUGGACACGGAUAGCCAGUGGUUCCUGCAGAGGACAAGCCUGAGGGCCAGCGAAGUGCCUUGCGCAAGGAUCGUUCUUCAGACUACUCGUCGCCAACCCCCUCCCAAACCUGGAGUUUGCGUUUAAGAAAAGGCAGCGGAGACCCCUAAUGAAGUCACACACUGGGUAUUUUGAAGCUUCACUUGAAAGAAAAUGCAAGAAGGGGUGGGGAACCUACUUCCUUGUCUCCGAGACCAUGGUUGAGCCACCUUCCUUCCUCAGGCUCCUUCUUGCCGGUCUUCUAGAAGGGAGAAGAGGGAAGAGAAGCAGUUGCUGAUGCUAAUGAUGAACAAGGAAUGCCUAGUCUUGGCACUACUGGUGAUGCUGCUGAAGAGCAAUGGCCUUGCUAAAAAGACUGAGCAGCCCACCCAUUGAGUAGCUGACCCGGGAAGCGCUGUGUGAACCCAUGGAAAACCACUUUUCACCAGGUGCUGCCAGGGCCUCCCCAACUCCUUCACAGGGCAGCGCUGUGCCCUGGGCCCCAAACCCACUGCUACUCUUAUGUGUCACUUGAACUUCCUCAUGCAGCUGCCCUCCCUUCUGGAUAU